UACGCAUCCAUUAAUAUCUCAUCGUCGGUUCCCCACUGCUCCCCACCCAAAGCUCCAAUGCAUCAGCGUCUCCUCCCCUCCCGCAGCGAUUCUCCAUCACACAAGGCCAGCAAACAACGCCAGGAAACAACCCCGGUGCCCCAGUUCGACACGAGGUCCAUGGCUUGAGCCAACCCACCUCCACAAGAAGCAUAGCCCGACAGCAACAGCGAUGCACUCCCCGGCGCGCGUCAAUGCAGUGCCCGCCGACGAAUCCACAUGCCACGCGGAUGCAGACGGCAGCGGCGGCGAAUACCCAGAUCUCGGCGUGGCGGCGACGUCUACGGCAAUCAGCCCCCACGCCUCCGUCCGUGUCCGCGGUUCAGAUGGCCAACGUCCAUGUCCACUCACGGGCGCGCGACGCAUGGCCCGGGGGCCCUCGGCCCUUCACUGCUCCCGACGAGGCCCGUACUGCGGCAUUGCGGCCGAAGGCAGCGGCGGCGCACGGCCUGGCGCGAUGACAUAUGACCCCUGCCACAGCCGCAAUGGUGGACGACCCCUUUUUUCAACCAAGCUCUGCCUAAAAGGCGAGGGGGAAAUGAUAUUUUGUUUCUGCUGCAUCAUUGGAAGAUUUGAUAUAAAAUUUGUCUGGUGUUGAAUCGUGAUCAUCUAGAGUUUGGUAAGGUGAGAGAGAUCCCAGAAUUUAUUUUGCUGAAGACGUUUUGUUCAAAAAUUUCGCCAUGGGGUUUUGGACGAUGACAACAUUUAAUCAGAAGAAGAUUCAUUGGCAGGUAAUAAGAGGUACGUUGCAUACUUUUCUUUUUUUGAUGUGAGUAGCAUAAUUUUCAAUGUAGUAAUUUGUGCAUUUGGUUGAAUACCUCUGUUUUGGAGACUAUAACCUGUCGAAAUGCGUGGCGUGUGGUCCUUCAGGGCAUCAGGGGACAUGUAAUUUAGGUAUACUGCCUGCAUAUGAGGGUGCAGGCCCAGCUGGUACAGGGGACAGUGACACUAUUCGUACCACUUGAUCGCAUUAUCAAGCUCACAUUUUUUUAUGGUACUGAUCAUUGACCAUCACCUAAAUGAUUUGGUUCUUGACUGACAGGCCUAUCGCCAUGAAGGAGGUGAUGCAGACCAUUCAGGUGAAGCCCGGGUGGAAGAAGAGGACCAAGAAAUCCCUGAAGGCGAUUCAUGUCACAUAUGAACAUCCCUGUACUUAAAUCGGAUUAUCAUGUAUAUCCUGGAGAUGCAUCCAAAUUUACCUCUCGUGGACGGUUAAACAUUGUGAAGUUUAUAUUGUGAGAUAUAAUAGUAGUGUAAGGAUUUUUCUUUACAUGGUUGGUUUUUGAAAUUCUAAGCAUGUUUAAAUAGCUUUGAGAGGUACGCUAUUCUGAACUCUGAAACCCUCUUAAUGGAUUUUUUUAUUGGAGGAAUUACACUAUAUACUUUUGUUAAGCAUGUUUUUCAUUCUCUUGCAUUUCAUAAGAUACUUCUUAGUUUGACUUGAUAUAUAUGUUCUUUCAGGAGGGAGGGUGGUUUAUGUUAUAUUUUCGACAAAGUUAGCUGCACCUACAUGGUCGUAGAGUAUUAGUAUCUCCGUUCACUGUCUUCUGAUAAUGAUGCUUGCAAAUUAUUUGCAAUCUCCAGUGCGGAUAGUAGGAUUUGUAAGUAGGCAUUGAGCUACUGAGAUGACAUUGUUUUUACUCUGGUGUCUUAAGUCACCACAUGCAAAGAUUUGUAGGUAGUAGUCAUUUCAUGUUGUAUUUGUUUUGCAACCUGCAGAUUAUGUUUGUCCCUCUCAAGUUA